UGGAUUGCUGAACCUUGUACGUUCAUCCGCUUUCCCGAAGGUUUUUAGAGUUUGCGAAGCUCGACAAGAAGGCGAUGCUUGUAAAUACGUUUUGGUUGCCAUUGCAGAGGCGUGUGCUUUAUGUUAGAUUUACGGCGGAUUGAAGGUGUAGUAGAGCUAACUGGUAGACCAUGCCUCUUACACAAGCUCAGAGUUAUGGCCGCCGAGUGCAUCCCGUGUCGUGUCGGAGUGUGAUUAAUGGCAGCACCACACCACUUCAGGUACCGCCUCCAGCAGCAGCUCCAACAUUAGCUGAGGGCUGGAUACUCGCUUCCCUGUAGGACUGGCAAGAGGCGAAAUGCUACCUUUUCGAUGCAAUGUCGUCGCUCAAACAACAACUCUUGAACUGUUCACAAUCAAUUCUCAAUAUGAAUUCUCGGGACUUCAGACUCCUGUAUGCUUUCUCAUCAUCUCUUGGUGUGUAGCAGUAAGAGAGAAGAAGCUCCGAGUAGAUUCUGCACUAAAAACAACCAAAAUGGAUUCUGCAGUGGUCACUUUGACGUGACCCUAGCAUAAGCUGAAUCGGGAAUCCUGUGCUUUUAAAUUUGUUCCUGUGAAAGAUAUGGCGGUGGUUAAAACUUCUUUGUCGAAGGGCUGUAAAAUUGAGAUAAGUUAGGUCUAUGAAUCUGCAAAAUGACUUGAAAGAAAGUCCAUUUGAUCAA